rnacentral:rRNA from 1 species
AACGAACGCUGGCGGCAGGCCUAACACAUGCAAGUCGAACGCCCUAGCAAUAGGGAGUGGCAGACGGGUGAGUAACACGUGGGAACCUUCCCUAUAGUACGGAAUAUACCAGGGAAACUUGGAGCAAUACCGUAUACGCCCGAGAGGGGAAAGAUUUAUCGCUAUAGGAUGGGCCCGCGUAGGAUUAGCUAGUUGGUGAGGUAAUGGCUCACCAAGGCGACGAUCCUUAGCUGGUUUGAGAGAACGACCAGCCACACUGGGACUGAGACACGGCCCAGACUCCUACGGGAGGCAGCAGUGGGGAAGUAUUGGACAAUGGGCGGCAAGACCUGAUCCAGCCAUGCCGCCGUGAGUGAUGAAGGCCUUAGGGUUGUAAAGCUCUUUUGCCGGGACGAUAAUGACGGUACCCGGAGAAUAAGUCCCGGCUAACUUC